GGAGCAUGUGGCUUAAUUUGACUCAACGCGGGAAAUCUUACCGGGUCCGGACACACUGAGGAUUGACAGGCAAUAUCUCAUGUUAACGGUAAGUUUACUUACCGCUUAACAUCGAGUGUUAAAUAUGCUAGUCCUUUCAUGAUUAUGUGAUAGGUGGUGCAUGGCCGUUCUUAGUUCGUGGAGUGAUCUGUCUGCUUAAUUGCGUUUCACUAAGGGCCCAUAAAUUCAAGGUAUGUUAGCUCUCGUCGCUCUAUGGACCCCUUAACUCCAAUAUUCUUAUUGUGUUAAGCGCGUGUCUUUAUUUUAAGAGUUUUAAGACACUGCGCAUGCUGUUGGGCUCUGAAAGCAACGAACGUGACCGCAACGUCUUGUUGCCUUAAACUAGCGUAUAUUGCAAUUUAUUGUAAUAUCGCUUACAGAGGCUAUUUAAAACUAGACGGACCGCUGUUUCUUUCUUAAACCAGAGGAAGGUUGCGGCAAUAACAG
rnacentral:rRNA from 1 species